rnacentral:rRNA from 1 species
UACGUAGGGAGCAAGCGUUGUCCGGAAUCAUUGGGCGUAAAGCGCGCGUAGGUGGCUUCGUAAGUCCGUUGUGAAAGUCAAAGGCUCAACCUUUGAAAGCCGAUGGAUACUGCGGAGCUAGAGUACGGAAGAGGCGAGUGGAAUUCCUGGUGUAGCGGUGGAAUGCGCAGAUAUCAGGAGGAACACCGGUGGCGAAGGCGGGUCUCUGGGCCGUAACUGACGCUGAGGAGCGAAAGCGUGGGGAGCGAACAGG